rnacentral:rRNA from 1 species
AUGGCUCGCAACUGCAGAAUCAGCAGCUUGCCGCCGCCGUCGCUGCUCUUCUUCCUGCUUAUCAUGCUCUCUACCACCACGCACUGCGAGGCGAGAGCUCUAAAGCAGGGCAAGAAGAACUCGCUGAUGAACGUGCUCUUCAAGCUCAACUUCGCCAGAGCGGUGGAGCCGACGCAAGCGCAACUACCCCCUCCCUCGUCGCUCGACGCCAGCGCUGGCAGCGACGCCGCGAGCGCGAGCCUCGCCGCCGUCGAUGCCCCGUUCUGCGUCAACCCUCCCGACGCUCCUCCCUCGUCGUCCACGCCUCCAUUCACCUCCACGGCGCCCUCCUCCACCACCCCGUCCGUCCCCGACCAGCUGCCGCCCAUCACCCCCGUCCCGCCGUCAUUCGAGCCCAGCCCGCCGGCCGGCGGCGGUGGCGCCACCCCGGGCUCCAGUCCGGGUCUGGGCACGCCCACGCCGAUCAACCCGCCGCAGUUCGCCCCGAGCCCGCCUGGGACGGCGCCGCCCAGCCCGAUCGUCGUUGUGCCGAACCCGCCCGACGAAUUCGGCCCAGGCUCGGGCGGCGGAGGACCAGGAGGAGGACAGGGAGGAGGCGUAGGAGGAGGAGGCGGUGGUGGAGGAGAAGGAGGAGGCGGAGGCGCAGGAGGAGGUGGUGGUGGAGGAGGAGAAGGAGGCGGAGGCGGAGGCGUAGGAGGAAGCGGUGGAGGAGAAGGAGGAGGCGGCGGGGGCGGCGGUUUCAUGCCGCCGAUCAUCUACCCUCCGCCGCUGGCCCCUCCGAUGGCGCCGGGGUCCGGGCAGGCGCUGUGGUGCGUGGCGAAGCCGACGGUGCCGGACCCGAUCCUCCAGGAGGCCAUGGACUACGCGUGCGGCUCCGGCGCCGAGUGCCGGUCCAUCCAGCCGUCCGGCGCCUGCUCCCAGCCGGACACCGUGCUCGCCCACGCCUCCUACGCCUUCAACAGCUACUGGCAGAUGACCCGGGCCAACGGCGGCACCUGCGACUUCGGCGGCACCGCCACCAUCGUCACCAGCGACCCAAGCUAUGACAGUUGCGCGUUCAACCUUGUAUGA